rnacentral:rRNA from 1 species
GCAGUCGAGGGGCGCAUUCCAGUUUGCUUGCAACUGGAGAUGGCGACCGGCGCACGGGUGAGUAACACGUAUCCAACCUGCCGAUAACUCGGGGAUAGCCUUUCGAAAGAAAGAUUAAUACCCGAUGGCAUAAUAGAACCGCAUGGUUUGAUUAUUAAAGAAUUUCGGUUAUCGAUGGGGAUGCGUUCCAUUAGGCAGUUGGUGGGGUAACGGCCCACCAAACCUUCGAUGGAUAGGGGUUCUGAGAGGAAGGUCCCCCACAUUGGAACUGAGACACGGUCCAAACUCCUACGGGAGGCAGCAGUGAGGAAUAUUGGUCAAUGGACGAGAGUCUGAACCAGCCAAGUAGCGUGAAGGAUGACUGCCCUAUGGGUUGUAAACUUCUUUUAUAUGGGAAUAAAGUGGUCCACGUGUGGAUUUUUGUAUGUACCAUAUGAAUAAGGAUCGGCUAACUCCGUGCCAGCAGCCGCGGUAAUACGGAGGAUCCGAGCGUUAUCCGGAUUUAUUGGGUUUAAAGGGAGCGUAGGUGGACAGUUAAGUCAGUUGUGAAAGUUUGCGGCUCAACCGUAAAAUUGCAGUUGAUACUGGCUGUCUUGAGUACAGUAGAGGUGGGCGGAAUUCGUGGUGUAGCGGUGAAAUGCUUAGAUAUCACGAAGAACUCCGAUUGCGAAGGCAGCUCACUGGACUGCACUGACACUGAUGC